UAGCAUAAUCAUUUGUUUUUUAAUUAAAAACUGGCAUGAAAGGUCAAACAAAAGUAGUUGUCUUAGUUUUUUAAGUUAAAUUUAUAGUUUAAAUAAAAAUAUUUAAAUGAAAUUGAGGGACGAUAAGACCCUAAAAGCUUUAUUUUAAGUCAGAGUUUUCAUAAAAGGAAAAAAAUUAGCUGGGGUAGCUGCUUUGUUAAGAUCAAGGUAAUUGUUUACUUGAAGGAUAAUGGUCCUUAAUAUUAAGAUAGUUAGGAUUAGUUACUUUAGGGGUAACAGCAUAAUAUACUCGGAGAGACCUUAUCUAUGAGUUUGAUUAUGACCUCGAUGUUGAAUUAAGAUAAGUUAUGAUGAAGAAGGUAUAAGGAUAGGUUUGUUCAGCCUUUAAAUAUUUACAUGAUUU
rnacentral:rRNA from 2 species